UGAUCAUGCCUCAUGACAGUGGAGUUUACUGGUAGACUAAUCCAGCUGCAGUCUCCUCAGAGGUGGGAACUGAAGACAUAAGUUACAGACAAAUGGUCAUCAGACUAAAGACUCUUAGAGACUUUAAACCAGAGCCAGACGUCAUCUACUCUUCACUGAAGUAGUCCACCAAUCCAACCACUGACAUCCACUGCUGGUCUCUGAUUGGUCCUCUCAGCAUCUCAAGAGUACAACUGCUUGUUGAAAUACUUUUAUAUAUUUUGCGCCUUUUUCUCACUGAACCUUACUCAAAUGACUCAAAAAGGAC
ensembl:lncRNA